rnacentral:lncRNA from 1 species
UUUAGAUUUAAUUUAAAAUUCAAAUUUAAAAUUUUAAUGUCAACUCAAAAUUUUAAUUCAGCUUUAAAUUGAAAUUGUACCUUUAAAUUAAAAUUCUAUAUUCUAAUAUAUCGUUAGUUUAAAAUUGUGAGAUCCCUGGUGUUUAGCGGUUGAGGCUUGUCGACAGCUCUGGAGAGUGUCGGGACAAGUCUGAGUCGCGUUGGCGUGAAAAAGAUACAAAACGGACUCUGUGCGACGCGAGAGCAGCAUUUAGCAAGAAAAAUAUGCAAAUAGCUGUUUUUCUGCUUGCUGUACCGGUACAGCAAGUAUGGUGUACCGGUACACUGCACAGACUACUCUCGGGUUGGCUUCUAGUACCGGUACGUGGGCCCGUGUACCGGUACGCCAGGUUAGGUAAGGGGCUUUUUGGCCUUUCCUUCCCUCGUUGUUUUCACCCACUCCUUCUCCCUCCUAUAUAGGAUAGAGAGAGAGCAGAGAGGAGAGGACUUCAGCACUCUCUCUCUCCUCUCCUUGUGCGUGAUCGAGCAUGGUGGAGGAGCUCGGGUGGAGUUGUCCCGUCGCCGACGUCGCGCCGCGGAGCCGUU